UGUGACUUAAUUAGAGCCAAUUAGAGACACAAUGAGACUUUUGCAGGGAAUUCUGGGAAGGAGACUCUCACUAGAUCCUUGCUUGACUUGAGAGGUAUGAGGUUGGAACGGCUGUAGCCAUCUCCAUCUAUUGAGGGAACACGGGUUUGAGAACACAGUCAAGUCAGGACGAGAACAAGAGACGCUGGAUCUUGAGGACAGUGCUUGAGCCCUCGAAUCAAUCAAUGUCUAAACUAAUGGAGGGUCGAUGAAGACAUUUGGCCAGAGGACCCUGAAACACCUGAAUCCCACCUUUGGCUGGCUAGCCCCAUUUCUCAGCAGUGCCUUCACAGGAGCGGCCUGGAGGUUGACAGAACAAGAUGGAAGCCCUUCAAGAAAAUUGUCAAUAAAGAAAGACUGAAAAUGGGCAUAGCUUUCCUGAGGUUUGUAUCCAGCCUGGUUAUAGCCAGGACUAACUCUUCUCCCACGUUCUUGCUAAUUGGCAGCAGCAGACAGUGUGUGAGUUGGGAUAUGUGAAAGAUGGAGAAAAACAAAAAUAAAGCCAAACUCUAAAACUCCAAUCAUCUUUAAUUAGUCAAGAAAAAUCAACAGCUUGAGAAUGUACACCUACUAAGACAGCGAGAAGGGAUGGCUACAAAGUGCUUCUGUCUCUAAGGAUCUUGUGCCCCUCAUUUAAUCUUCCCUGGCGUUUGUUUGUUCCACAUGUUAAAAAAUGUUAUCCUCUGUUUUUACCAGAGGUAGCAGUGCUUAAUUUAGAAAUUUUAAAAAUGCAGAAAUAUCCGUAAUAGAUCUGGUGCUACAAGGUCAUUCUCCCUGUCUCUGUUUCUCUCCCUGAUGGUAGAGAAUAUCCUAUAUUGUGAGAAUAAAAAUAGCCAGAGUCAGAUGUCAGUUAAUCAGAGUCUACCUAACAGGAUGGUUAAUCAAAGCACUUUUUUUUUUUCUGUUUAACAACGUGGAAUAGUGAAAACAUCAUCAACUUUGAUUCUCUGGAGCCUGGGCUUAAAAUCUUCCAUGGCUUUCUAGCUGUGUGACUUUAACAAAAUCAAUGUACUUCUCUGAGACUCAGCUUCCACACUAGUAAAAUGGUUUUGUUAUAAAUACACACACACACACACACACACACACACACAUAUACACACAUAUUUUUUUUUGAGAUGGAGUCACACUAUGUUUCCCAGGCUGGAGUGCAGUGGCACGAUCUCGGCUUACUGGAACCUCCACCUCCCGGGUUCAAGUGAUUCUCCUGCCACAGCCUCCCAAGAAGCUAGGAUUAUAGGUUCCCACCACCACGCCCAGCUAAUUUUUUAUUUUUUGUAGAGACCGGGUUUCACCAUGUUGGCCAGGCUGGUCUCAAACUCCUGAUCUCAAGUGAUCCACCCACCUCGGCCUCCCAAAGCGCUGGGAUUACAGGCAUGAGCCACCAGGCAUGGCCUCGUUUUGUUAUUACUAGUAGGUAGUGUGUGAUAAGGAUAAAAGUAAACAAUACAUGCAAAGCAAAUUGUUGGAACUCAAUAGAUAUUAGUCCCAUUCCCUGCCUCUCCAAGACACAACAUAACACCUCCCAUUCACAUAAUACACAGUUAUUUGUUGUUGUUACUGUUGAGUGUUUUGUUGAAUACUUUUAGAAAAAAGAGUAAAAAGUAUUAGAAACCAAACCAAUAGUGAAGAUUUAAAUCAAACAAAGGCAACGUCUGUAGCAAGGUCUGGGGUGAAUUUAUGACAGGUAUGACUCAUUGUCUUCAGUUUUCUAUGCACAAAGGAAAUGAGAACUGGCAGUUCUUCAGGAUGACCCUAGCAUUCUGCAAGAUCCUCAAUCAUCUCUGAAAAGGGACACUGUGUUCCUUUUUGGUUAGGACUGUUUGGUUGCAAGUAACAUAAGCUGCCUCAAGCUGGCUUGCAUAUGCAUUUUGAGGUGUGUGUGUACACGUGCCUGUGUGUGGUGAAGGGGUAGUUCAAAGUGCCUUAUGGAGCCAAAACUUGUAGAAACUACUCACUGUAUAUCUUUUUCAUUUUUACUUUCCCUUACACUAGUUUUUGCUUCUUGUCCCAAAUGGCAGAAAAAUUGCUGCCCCACAAUUCUAGAGGUUAUGUUAUAGAUCCAAGCGCAUGAAGAGACUGAUGCAACCAGAGUUUCCCCCAAUUUGAAAUUCUCAGAGAAAGAAGCUGAUUGGUUUAGCUAAGUUCCGCUGUACACCUCAGCUCCAAUCAUCUGUGGCUAGGAAGACAGCAUUGCACAAACACAGGUGAAGGAGGCUUACUCCUAAGAUCCUGAGGAUGGAAAUAAAAGAGGAGUUUCAAAGGGUGGGGAAAGGUGAGUGUCAUUAGGUAUAGACACACCAAAGGUGUCAUUCCAGUUUAAGUAGUAGGGGGGAAGUGAACUAAUAUAGAAUAAUUUUUAACAGCCAGAGCCAGAAUCUAAAAGGGUUUUGGCUUAGCAUGGUGGCUCACACUUGUAAUUGCAACACUUUGGGAGGCUGAGGUGGGAGGAUCACUUGAGCCCAGGAGUUUGAGACCAGCCUGGGCAACAUAAUGAGACCCCGUUCUACAAAAAUAAAAAUAAAAACAAAUUAGCCAGGCAUGGUGGUGCAUGCCUGAAGUCCCAGCUACUCAGGAGGCUGAGGCAGGAGGAUCUCUUGAAGGAGUUCAAGGUUGCAGUGAGCUAUUAUCACACUACUGAACCCCAGUCUGGGCAGCAGAACAACAUUCUGCCUAUUAAAAAAUGAAAGUAAGAAGGUUUUUUUAAAUAUAUACAUACCAUAGUUAAGCCAAAAAAUUCAAUUAGACCAAACUUAUUUUACCUUUCAUGUCAAUUAUAGCAGACACAGAUGCUUGCCUACCUAACAGCCUAUUCUCUUUUCUUCUAAGUUGACCGUACCACACAUUUACUUGGGUGUCUGCUCCAUCAUCUUAUCAGUCAUAGAUAACCCCCAUCCCUGUGUUUAGAUGUAAAUUAGUCUAAUAGGUGCAUUGUGAUCCUAUUUGCUGUCUAGUUAGUGGCUUAGACAUAAGCAUGUGAUACAAUUCUAGCCACUAAAACUCGAUAGACAGUCUGCUGAUAGGCCUUUUGCAAAGAUUUUUUUAUUCUCAGUGAUGAAAAGAAACUCAUAGGAACACUCCUUCUUCUUUUAGAUACUUUUAGAUCUGGCUGUGAUGCGCGGGACUGUGGCAGCCACCUUAGGCCCAUGAGGGGACUUAGCAUGAGAAUGGAAGAACUGAAAGAUAGAAAGAACUUGGGUCCUUGAUGACAUCAUUUGAGUCACUGGGUUAACCCACCUUGGACUACUUUACUUCUGGGAUUCUUGUUAUUUGAUAAAAGAAGUGUUCUUAUUGUUUAAGCCAGUUGAAUUCAUUUUUAAUUUUUAGUUACUUGAAUCCCCAAACAUCCUAAAUGACAUACCUCCAAAUUAAUACAAAUCACAAGCCACAAAUGAGACAUACUUUAAUGAGAGCUGACUUGAUAGCAUGGAGAACAAUUUUGCAAAUUCUUAGGAGAAGCUGUCCCUUAGGCAACAGUGAUAUUGGUAGCCAGGAGAUCAUAAAUCAUUUCUAAUGCUCCCAGAGCCUUAUCAAUAUACAGAAUUUUGCAAGCACAGCAACAUUUUUUUUUAUAUUUAUGAAAAAAGCACCUCAAAGGAAUUAUCUGUUUAAAGUAGCUUUUUUGUGCUUCAAAGUCCUUGCUCCUUCAGACAGAGAGUUGGACAAGUUUAAAGUGGUUUUAUUGUGCGUUCCACUCGCUCAAGUUUGAUAGGCUGUGUUUUCAUGACAGGUCUGUCCCAGCACUGGGUGCCUGGGAUGAUUUGAUGUGGGCUGAGUUCGGACAGCCUAAUACUUGGGAAAAAAUGUGCUGAAAUUGAACAAGAUCGCUUUCUGCCCAGCUGUUCUCCAAAGGCUCAGACAUUUUUAGCACUGAGCAAAGAAGCUUGUAUUUGUUUUGACGUUCUUGGCAAGGAGAACAAUGGUUUAUUAUCCUAGCACUUUACUAACAAAUAAGACUGCCUCCAGCAGAGAUAAAAUAUGGGUCUUGACUUCAUUGCAUCUCAUGUCCAAGGGAAUUAUCUUCUAUUCAUUCUGAUGCCCUUUCAUUAUGCAGUGUAUCUUUUUGUUCUUUAUCCUUACCCCACAAAGUAACCCCUGGCUUUCACUCUGAGAAGACAGCUUCCUGAAAUCACCAUGGGCAUGGCAGUUUGAUUGUCUUAUAAAACAUAUACUGUAUUUUCACUUCUCCAAUUUGAUAUCUUGGAAUUUUUUUGUUUGUUUGUUUGCUUUUGGUUCUCCAGAUGUGUAUGGUUACUUUCUUCUCUAAUUUUUCUGUCUGCUUCCUUUUGAUAUUUGUUUAUGUUGUUGCUACUGUUUUAG
rnacentral:lncRNA from 10 species